GGCUGACCCGACCCAAAAAAUGAGUAUUAUACUCCCUCAUUUAUACACAGAAGAACUGAGGGCGUCGGCAAGUAUGGUGGAUGCAAAUAAAAGGACGGAGCAUUGAAUGCUCAUCCUUUUUGCCCAAUUUUUCGCUCAUUUUGUAUCCAAACGGUACAAUCCAUGUUUAUUACUUUAUUUUUAUCUAUUUUACAAGCUGUUAAGGUGGAAUGAACCGUUGAUUUUAUGAAUCUUUCGAUCUGGACCGUAUAGUUGUGUUCUAAGUUAAAAAAUGGUAAUUUUUGGGGAGUACCACAUCAGUAGUUUUGCUUUUAGUGUUCCUUUGGGGGUUCUAUAAAUAGAAACCCCCAUUCACGAGUAAAAGAGGUUAAAAAAAAGGGGCGGCAGAUUGAAAACUUGAGAUUUGAACCAAAAAUUCAAACUUAAAGUUGCUAAGUAUAAUUUUUAGGGCUUUAAACUCAGAUUUGAAGCAUUUCUAGUUCUAAUUUUUUUUUUUUUUGCUUUGUCUUUGGUGUUGUGGCUCGAGUUUGGAAGCAAGAGGUUUUUCUUUCAAGUCCAUUCUUGACUCGGUUGUGCCCAAAAAAGGGAGACAGAGAUUGUGAGAUGGUAAUGUUUAAUCUCUUGUGCUUUAUCAAAGAUUUGUGACAAUAAAGAUUUAUGGAACAUAAACAUCAACUUCCUAUGGGGUUUCAUCUCCAAUUACUCAACAUUAGCAGCAGGGGAUGUUUUUUUAAUUUUUUGGAUAUCUUAUAGUAUAUAAUUUUGUUUCAAUAAAGUAUGAACCGGUAAUAUGAUGUGAGUGGAAGUAUUGCUUCCUUUUACUGUAAUCCUGUUAAAUGCAUGAAACAUGUAUGAAAAUAUUAUUGGUGUUGA